GUGCCAGAUGCCCCUGUACUUGGGCUCUGUCUGGAUCUUGACCUGUGAGAGAAGCGGACUUCAGGAAGGGGUGGCUCCAGGCCGACGGCAAGGAGGCAGCAGUGAACCCGACCAGCUCCCGCUGAGAAUAGACCCACACUUCUUGUCCACACCGUGUCUCAUCAACCCUGAGCGUGCUGAUGCAGAGAAGGAAACUGAGUCUCAGCCAAGCUGCUAGCAGUUUCUCCUUCCGCGUCUUGGCCCAGCCAUGCCUUGUUCCGAAAGCCAGGGAUGCGUUUUGGGAGCGCCUCUGUUUCGACACUUGCUGUGCUCUGCCUCCAAACCAGGCAGCUCUUGUCCUGAAGCCUGUGACGGGUCUGUCUGCCUUUCAGCGGCCAGGUGCGUGUGAAGGAGAGGCACAGACCCAACGAAGGCCAUGAGGGAAGGGCAGAGGGAGAGAGAGAGAAUCUCAAGCAGGCUCCACGCCCAGCGCAGAGC